UACGUAGGGGGGCAAGCGUUGUCCGGAAUCAUUGGGCGUAAAGAGCGUGUAGGCGGCUCGGUAAGUCCGCUGUGAAAAGUCCAGGGCUCAACCCUGGAAUGCCGGUGGAAACUGUCGAGCUAGAGUCCGGAAGAGGCGAGUGGAAUUCCUGGUGUAGCGGUGAAAUGCGCAGAUAUCAGGAGGAACACCGAUGGCGAAGGCAGCUCGCUGGGACGGUACUGACGCUGAGACGCGAAAGCGUGGGGAGCAAACAGG
rnacentral:rRNA from 1 species